UUGCUUUCAAACAUACGUUUGCAAAGUUUACAUAAACUUUGACAAACUAUGCAAACGCUAAAAAUGCGUCUGCAGUUUGUCGUUUGUUAGUACAAACGCUGCAUUUGUUUCUAACUUCAACCUGAUUAAACGAAGUAUUUGUUUCUACGUUUGUAAAAAGUCUGAUUACCAACAACAUGUGCAUGCAUUAUUGAAAAUUCAAACAG
rnacentral:lncRNA from 1 species